UACGGGGGGAGCAAGCGUUGUUCGGAUUUACUGGGCGUAAAGGGCGCGUAGGCGGCCAGCACAAGUCAGUUGUGAAAUCUCCGGGCUUAACUCGGAAAGGUCAACUGAUACUGUGCGGCUAGAGUGCAGAAGGGGCAACUGGAAUUCCUGGUGUAGCGGUGAAAUGCGUAGAGAUCUGGAGGAACACCGAUGGCGAAGGCAGCCUUCUGGGCCAACACUGACGCUCAUGCACGAAAGCGUGGGGAGCAAACAGG
rnacentral:rRNA from 1 species